CCGUCAAAGGGCAGAGGAACUCUUGAGAAUCAACGACCUUCCAAUAAAUGUCUUAAGGUUGUAUCAUGCGCGGGGAUAUAGAAAUAAUCGGUCUGAAUACCCGAUCGCUCGGUUAAUCCAUUGGGAGUGAAGGACCCCUAGCCUUUGUUAGGGCAUCCUUC